rnacentral:lncRNA from 1 species
GAAGAUUGUGAGCUUUUUGCAGUCAUAUCCCAUGAGAUCAGGAAUAAUUGCAAUGCAGAAAUUUUCAAUGGAAAUUGAAAGAUCCUCUGUCCAUGAUCAGCUUUGCAUCACACCAUCUUGCUAGAAGCCAACCACCAUUAUCCUAUGAGAUCAGGAAUAAUUGCAAUGCAGCAAUUUUCAAUGGAAAUUGAAAGAUCCUCGUCCAUGAUCGGCUUUGCAUCACACCAUCUCGCUAGAAGCCAACCACCAUUCCAGAUCUCAAUCCUAGCCGUACAAGUCGAACGUCGUUCGCCCCACCAUUUAUUCAAAUACAAAAUUAAUUUUCACGCAUCGGUUUCCACCUGCAACAAUCUGUUUGGCAUUGGCGUGGUUAUUCGUGAUCAUGAAGGCGUGCUUAUUGCUGUUUUGUCCGAAAAAUUUGAAGGGAUGGCAAACGCAUAAUUGGCAGAAUCUUGUGCUGCGUGGGAAGCUGUUAAUCUAGCAGAUGAUCCAAAGCAGCAAAGAAUUUGAUGAUCCCAAACUUUGUAUUGGAGGGAGGGAGAUGCAACCUCCGUAGGAGUGUUCAUCAGCCAGUGAUCGGUAAUUCGACUAAAAAAUAAUUCAAUUUUUUACGAUAUUUUUUUCCAGUAGGUCUAACAUUUGAUUACCAUCCAAAGCUUUAUUUGGUAAUUUGAGUAUUCAUAAUUGAAUUUUGGUAGGCUAAUCGGUAUUGUAGUAAUAUCCAAAAUUAAAAUUUGGGUUUUUUUGAUGUAAAUCAGUCAAGCAUUUUAAACAAAAUUGAGGUUAUUAAUAAAUUAAUUAAUGCAUUUUUAAGGUCGCACAUUCCUACAUUAGCAUUAGUACACUGACGGAUUAGGAACAUACAUGUAAUAUAUAAAAUAUAUCAUUAAAAUAUAAAAUUCCGUAAUUCAAUCAGUAUUCAAAAUUUUCAAAAUCAAAAUUAAAUAAUCAUUCCAAACUAUUUUACCAAACUUUAAAGAUUGGAUCAGUUUUACCGAAAUUCGUUUUACCAAUAUCCAAUACAGAAUCUAAAUUUGAUCGGCCGGCAAAUUUUUCAGUUUUUUUUUGAAACAAUUUGCACCCCUAUGCCUCGGUCAUUCUUUUUAAGGAAGAUUAUGAUACUCCUUCCGAUAUAGGUCCCAAUGAUAGAGGAAGUACAUUUAGUUUUACUAGAUCAAAACCUAUUAGAUAUCCAUUAAGUUCCUAGAGAAGCGAAAUAGAUCGUGCAUAGGCCAUUUCAUUAUGCAAAAAACGGCCAACACAGUUGAGUCCCUAUAGAAUUACCCUGUAGACUUUGUCAAGCAGAAUUGUACUGGACGAUUUUCAGCAAUUUUAUUAGUAAGAUUUCCGGCAAUUUUACUGGUAAUAUUAUCGUGUUCUGUUUUACAAUAAUAAAAAGGGUGCAAUGAUAAAGAAGUACCUCCAACAAAUGACGAUCCAACAACUUAUGCAUACAGGUCUACUCCCCAAAACUUCGCAGGUUGAUUGGUCCGGUAGUUUCGAUCCAAAGAUUUUAUCAGCUCCAUGUCCUCUUUUGCAAGCUCAAAGUCGAAAACUUUCAAGUUUUCCCGCAAUCUCUCU